rnacentral:rRNA from 1 species
GACGAACGCUGGCGGCGUGCUUAACACAUGCAAGUCGAACGGAGUGGCGAACGGGUGAGUAAAACGUGGGGGACCUGCCCGGCACUUCGGGAUAAGCAUGGGAAACUGGGGAUAAUACCGGAUAGUGUGGGAUGGGCCCGCGGCAUGUCAGCUUGUUGGUGGGGUAAUGGCCUCCCAAGGCGGCGACGGGUAGACGGCCUGAGAGGGAGGACGGACACCUGGGGACGGAGACACUGCCCAGACUCCUACGGGGGGCAGCGGUGGGGAAUAUUGCACAAUGGGCGGAAGCCUGAUGCAGCGACGCCGCGUGGGGGAUGACGGCCUGCGGGUUGUAAACUCCUUUCACCAUCGACGCGGUAGAUGGAGAAGAAGCACCGGCUAACUACGUGCCAGCAGCCGCGGUAAUUC